GAUGAAGAACGCAGCGAAAUGCGAUAAGUAAUGUGAAUUGCAGAAUUCCGUGAAUCAUCGAAUCUUUGAACGCACAUUGCGCCCCCUGGUAUUCCGGGGGGCAUGCCUGUCCGAGCGUCAUUGCUGCCCUCAAGCACGGCUUGUGUGUUGGGCCUCCGUCCUCCUCCCGGGGGACGGGCCCGAAAGGCAGCGGCGGCACCGCGUCCGGUCCUCGAGCGUAUGGGGCUUCGUCACCCGCUCUUGUAGGCCCGGCCGGCGCUUGCCGACACAUCAAUCUUUUUUCCAGGUUGACCUCGGAUCAGGUAGGGAUACCCGCUGAACUUAAGCAUAUCAAUAGGGAGGA
rnacentral:misc_RNA from 1 species